rnacentral:rRNA from 1 species
CACGUAAGAAUUUACCUUUAGGAGGGGGACGAACAACUGGAAACGGUUAGCUAAUACCCACUAUGCUUUCGAGUGAAAUGGAUUUUCCGUCCUAGAGAGAAGCUUGCGGCUGAUUAGCUUGUUGGUAGAGUAAUAGCCUACCAAGGCGACUAUCAGUAUCUGGUUUGAGAGGACGAUCAGACACACUGGAACUGAGACACGGUCCAGACUCCUCCGGGAGGCAGCAGUAGGGAAUUUUCCGCAAUGGGCGAAAGACCUGACGGAGCAAUACCGCGUGAGGGAUGACUGCCUAUGGGUUGU